GCAGCAGAAGCUUGUGCUGCGUUUCAGGCAAAAAUAAAGGGGGACGAGAAGCAAAAACAAAACAAAGCACGGCACCCUUGCCAUUUAUCUCUUUUGCUGUAGAGAGAUGUAUGUUGCACAUAUCCAGAGGCUGGAGAAGGGGAAAACGUGGAAAGGUUUGGAAGGAACCAGCAGUGAUGUACUAGAUGAAGAAGAAAGAAAACAGUUUCCUUGUGGAAGGGGAAGGAAUCUGGAAGGAAGUGAUCUAAGGAAAAUUAUCUCCAAGUGGUCACUCAAGAAAAGUCAAAACACAGUUAUCUGACCAUCACCCACUUCCCCCCACUUACAGCGUUGCCUCAGUUAUUCUGACAGAUGGCCCAUAGUGGGUCUAAUGAGUAAAAAGAUGGAGACUACAUGCCCUAGUGUGUUGUCUAAUUAAGAUUUACACAGUGACAGAAAAGACCUGUGCUAAAAACUGCAUGUGUUAGUCUUAGGAAACCUUAAACUAAAGAAGGCACUGUUUGACCAAACGCCUUUACAAUUACUGUAGAUGGGUUUUAGUACCCACAUUGAGAAGAUUUUGGUGCAGAGAAAGUAAUGAAACCUGCAUUUUGCCUGAUUUGUUUGGUGAGUUUUUCUCAAAGGGAGAGCAGGAGAAAAUGCUGUUUCCCCGA